rnacentral:rRNA from 1 species
UACAGAGGUGGCAAGCGUUGUUCGGAAUUACUGGGCGUAAAGGGCGCGUAGGCGGCCAUCUAAGUCAGACGUGAAAUCCCCCGGCUUAACCUGGGAACUGCGUCUGAUACUGGAAGGCUUGAGUAUGGGAGAGGGAUGUAGAAUUCCAGGUGUAGCGGUGAAAUGCGUAGAUAUCUGGAGGAACACCGGUGGCGAAGGCGGCAUCCCGGACCGGCAUUGACGCUGAGGAGCGAAAGCCAGGGGAGCAAACAGG